rnacentral:rRNA from 1 species
GGUUAAGCGACUAAGCGUACACGGUGGAUGCCCUGGCAGUCAGAGGCGAUGAAGGACGUGCUAAUCUGCGAUAAGCGUCGGUAAGGUGAUAUGAACCGUUAUAACCGGCGAUUUCCGAAUGGGGAAACCCAGUGUGAUUCGUCACACUAUCAUUAACUGAAUCCAUAGGUUAAUGAGGCGAACCGGGGGAACUGAAACAUCUAAGUACCCCGAGGAAAAGAAAUCAACCGAGAUUCCCCCAGUAGCGGCGAGCGAACGGGGAGCAGCCCAGAGCCUGAAUCAGUGUGUGUGUUAGUGGAAGCGUCUGGAAAGGCGCGCGAUACAGGGUGACAGCCCCGUACACAAAAAUGCACAUGCUGUGAGCUCGAUGAGUAGGGCGGGACACGUGGUAUCCUGUCUGAAUAUGGGGGGACCAUCCUCCAAGGCUAAAUACUCCUGACUGACCGAUAGUGAACCAGUACCGUGAGGGAAAGGCGAAAAGAACCCCGGCGAGGGGAGUGAAAAAGAACCUGAAACCGUGUACGUACAAGCAGUGGGAGCACGCUUAGGCGUGUGACUGCGUACCUUUUGUAUAAUGGGUCAGCGACUUAUAUUCUGUAGCAAGGUUAACCGAAUAGGGGAGCCGAAGGGAAACCGAGUCUUAACUGGGCGUUAAGUUGCAGGGUAUAGACCCGAAACCCGGUGAUCUAGCCAUGGGCAGGUUGAAGGUUGGGUAACACUAACUGGAGGACCGAACCGACUAAUGUUGAAAAAUUAGCGGAUGACUUGUGGCUGGGGGUGAAAGGCCAAUCAAACCGGGAGAUAGCUGGUUCUCCCCGAAAGCUAUUUAGGUAGCGCCUCGUGAAUUCAUCUCCGGGGGUAGAGCACUGUUUCGGCAAGGGGGUCAUCCCGACUUACCAACCCGAUGCAAACUGCGAAUACCGGAGAAUGUUAUCACGGGAGACACACGGCG